AUGGAAAACCAGUGGCCAGUUAUUAACCAGCUGAUCACUGAUCACCAGAUCAGGGCGGUUCUUCUAAAUUCAGGAAUUCCAGGAGAAGAUGCUGAGCUAAGAGCCUUCAAAACCACACUAAGCUUGUGCCAGGCUUCGGCCUUGACUGUUCAUUCAUCAAGAUCCUCUGAUUCAAACUGGUCUCAUCAAUUCACUUCAGCAGAGACCAACUGGAGCCCCAAAGCACAUCAGGACUCUUUAUCAAACAGCUCCCUCCUCUCCACUGUGGCCCAUCAGUCCAUCAGCUCGGCCAGGCUCCAUCUUCCCUUCGGCUCCUCCUUGGUCUGUCGUCGACCUUCCGCUGCCUCGGGACUCCACUCCUCCAGCUACACCUCAUCCCUCUGGCUCUGUCAAGCUUCUCGCUUCCUCCGGCUCCACCUUGGUCAUAUGUCGUUCCGGCUCCACCACGGCCUUCCAGAUCCCCAUCUCCGCCUAGGUCGCUGGAGCCAUCUCCUCUAACCUUGGCCCUCUGGAUCCUCCCCGUCACCCUGGCUCUUAGUCUCCGCCUCGGGCUCCACCACCACCUGAUCUGCCACCGUCGGUCGGCCCCCUAGAGCCAUCAGCCCUUCCACCACCAGCUCCUCCCUUCAUUGGCUCCACCAUGGGCCGCUAUCCUGACUGGGAUCUGGGUCCCACCUGCCACCUCCUGCUCCCUCCUGUCUGCUCUCUGGCUCCUCCCUCCAUCUGAUCCGCCCUGGUCCCUUCUGCCUCCAAAAUUGCUCCUCCCUCCAUCUCAUCCACCCUUGUCUUCUGCCUUCCUCCCUGCCUGCCAUUCGCCACCAUCUUGUCCCCAGCCCAAACAAACCUCCCACCCUCCUUUGUCUGUCCUGCCUGGGCGCGUGGCCGCUGUAAGGAGGUCAUUCCCUGCUGGUAUGAGACUAAAACCUGCAACCUUUGGGUUAUGAGUUCGACUCCCUAACCAUUAGGCCUUUAUUUAACAUUAUAAAAACUCAAUAAAUUGUGUUUUUGAACUGUUGCA
ensembl:lncRNA